CAGCAGCCGCGGUAAUACGUAGGUGGCAAGCGUUGUCCGGAAUUAUUGGGCGUAAAGGGCUCGCAGGCGGUUUCUUAAGUCUGAUGUGAAAGCCCCCGGCUCAACCGGGGAGGGUCAUUGGAAACUGGGAAACUUGAGUGCAGAGGAGGAGAGUGGAAUUUCACGUGUAGCGGUGAAAUGCGUAGAGAUGUGGAGGAGCACCAGUGGCGAAGGCGACUCUCUGAUCUGUAACUGACGCUGAGGAGCGAAUGCGUGGGGAGCGAACAGGAUUAGAUACCCCGGUAGUCCCUGUCUCUUAUAC
rnacentral:rRNA from 1 species